rnacentral:rRNA from 1 species
UACGUAGGGUGCAAGCGUUUGUCCGGAAUUAUUGGGCGUAAAGAGCUCGUAGGCGGCUCGUCGCGUCGGCUGUGAAAACCUGGGGCUCAACUCCGGGCCUGCAGCCGAUACGGGCAGACUAGAAUUCGGUAGGGGAGACUGGAAUUCCUGGUGUAGCGGUGAAAUGCGCAGAUAUCAGGAGGAACACCGGUGGCGAAGGCGGGUCUCUGGGCCGAUAUUGACGCUGAGGAGCGAAAGCGUGGGGAGCGAACAGG